GCUUACGGCCAUACCACCCUGAGAACGCCCGAUCUCGUCUGAUCUCGGAAGCUAAGUAGGGUCGGGCCUGGUUAGUACUUGGAUGGGAGACCGCCUGGGCAUACCAGGUGCUGUAAGCU
rnacentral:rRNA from 1 species